rnacentral:rRNA from 1 species
CGGCAGCCCGAGUGGUGGUCGUUUUUAUUGGGCCUAAAGCGUCCGUAGCCGGUCUAGUAAAUCCUUGGAUAAAUCGUACAGCUUAACUGUACGGCUCCCGGGGAGACUGCUAGACUUGGGACUGGGAGAGGUCAGAGGUACUCCAGGGGUAUGGGUGAAAUCUUGUAAUCCUUGGGGGACCACCAGUGGCGAAGGCGUCCGACCAGAACGGGUCCGACGGUAAGGGACGAAGCCCUGGGUCGCGAACCGGAUUAGAUACCCGAGUAGUCC